UCUCAGUUCGGAUCGGAGUCUGCAACCCGACUCCGUGAAGCUGGAUUCGCUAGUAAUCGCGCAUCAGCCAUGGCGCGGUGAAUACGUUCCCGGGCCUUGUACACACCGCCCGUCAAGCCAUGGGAGCCGGGGGUGCUUGAAGUGCGUCGCCGCGAGGCGCGCCCUAGAGCAAAACCGGUGACUGGGGCUAAGUCGUAACAAGGUAUC
rnacentral:rRNA from 1 species